GUGGGGAAUAUUGGACAAUGGGGGGAACCCUGAUCCAGCCAUGCCGCGUGUGUGAAGAAGGCCUUUUGGUUGUAAAGCACUUUAAGCGAGGAGGAGGCUACCGAGAUUAAUACUCUUGGAUAGUGGACGUUACUCGCAGAAUAAGCACCGGCUAACUCUGUGCCAGCAGCCGCGGUAAUACAGAGGGUGCAAGCGUUAAUCGGAUUUACUGGGCGUAAAGCGCACGUAGGUGGCAAAAUAAGUCAAAUGUGAAAUCCCCGAGCUUAACUUGGGAAUUGCAUUCGAUACUGGUUGGCUAGAGUAUGGGAGAGGAUGGUAGAAUUCCAGGUGUAGCGGUGAAAUGCGUAGAGAUCUGGAGGAAUACCGAUGGCGAAGGCAGCCAUCUGGCCUAAUACUGACACUGAGGUGCGAAAGCAUGGGGAGCAAACAGGAUUAGAUACCCCGGUAGUCC
rnacentral:rRNA from 1 species